GACGAACGCUGGCGGCGUGCCUAAUACAUGCAAGUCGAGCGGACUUUCAAGAAGCUUGCUUUUUGAAAGUUAGCGGCGGACGGGUGAGUAACACGUGGGCAACCUGCCUGCAAGACGGGGAUAACUCCGGGAAACCGGGGCUAAUACCGGAUAAUAUCUUCCUUCGCAUGAAGGAAGGUUGAAAGGCGGCGCAAGCUGCCGCUUGCAGAUGGGCCCGCGGCGCAUUAGCUAGUUGGUGAGGUAACGGCUCACCAAGGCGACGAUGCGUAGCCGACCUGAGAGGGUGAUCGGCCACACUGGGACUGAGACACGGCCCAGACUCCUACGGGAGGCAGCAGUAGGGAAUCCUCCGCAAUAGACGAAAGUCUGACGGAGCAACGCCGCGUGAGCGAAGAAGGUCUUCGGAUCGUAAAGCUCUGUUGUCAGGGAAGAACAAGUACCGUUCGAACAGGGCGGUACCUUGACGGUACCUGACCAGAAAGCCACGGCUAACUACGUG
rnacentral:rRNA from 1 species